UACGGAGGGUGCAAGCGUUAUCCGGAUUCACUGGGUUUAAAGGGUGCGUAGGCGGGCAGGUAAGUCAGUGGUGAAAUCUUCGAGCUUAACUCGGAACUGCCGUUGAUACUAUCUGUCUUGAAUAUUGUGGAGGUGAGCGGAAUAUGUCAUGUAGCGGUGAAAUGCUUAGAUAUGACAUAGAACACCCAUUGCGAAGGCAGCUCACUACGCAAAAAUUGACGCUGAGGCACGAAAGCGUGGGGAUCAAACGG
rnacentral:rRNA from 1 species